CAGCACAGGCUGAGGGAGCAGCAGCGUGGGAACAGAGCUACACAGACAUGAAGCAGUCCCUUUUGGGGGGCGGAGGGAAGAGCUGGUGAAAAGAAGACAAAACGAGAGAGAGGAAGGCACAAGCUUCCUGGUGCCCAUUCAGUAGCACACCUGGGAGUGUGAUCCUGGAGCGCCCGUGCCAGAAAGGCAUUUAGGAUCAUCUACCAAUGCUCAUCAUACAGGUCAGCACAACGUCUUGCCUGCAGCAGCGACACUCAUGGCUGAUGAACGCCUGACUGCAAGGGACACAGCGGGGGACCGAGGCGGGUGAAGCACCGGCAGCCAGGUGAAAUCGCGCACCCUCUAGCAGCCAACUUCCCAUAAAAGGCAAUAAUGCUUUUGAACUGAAAUAUCAUCAAGCAGACAUUAUCGAAGAGCUGGAAGUGGUAUGCAGUAGAUCGGCAGAUGUCGCGCGUGGAUCCCUACUCAUCCCAUCAGGAAAGAGAGGCUGGAAAAUAAUAAAGCCUAAAGAUAUUGGUCACAUUCAUCUUCCCGAUGAAGUUGCUGAAAAUCAAUCAAUAGGUUUUGAGGCUAAGGGCUGCUAAAAAAAUAACAGCUUGCAUUAUAAGGAGUUUAUAUUAAGCUUUCUGAUCACAGUUAAAUAUCUGUAAACAUUCCUAUUUCACAACAACUGAAAUAAGCAUAUACAUAAGAAUAAAGAAAAAUACAUUUUCAUUCCUUACAUAACAAAUGGAAUAAAUAGGAGAAGCUUACAGAGAAUCCAAGAACUGUUAAAAAUUAUUAAGAAAUAAAGAUGGAUAGUGCUGCUUAUCUUUAUACCACUUAGAAUUAUCAUAUGAUUUAAUAGUUUCCUAUUCCUGCUAACUGGUUUUUAUGCAUGGGUUCUGUAUCAGGCAUAUUUAUCAAAACAAUAUUUAUCAACCUAUGUCUUCUAUAUAUUUUAGCCCAUUAAAGUCCAACAAACAAGCUGCAAAUACUGUAAAUCUUUCCACUCUGGCUGGUAGCAAUGUAAACUGUUCCCAGCCCUACUGCUGGGAAUGAUUCAACCCAUUGCUUUCUUUCCUGGCCUUAUAGAAUUUUGCCGCAUACCUGCGCAGACAAGUGGACUGCUCUGCAGAUACCUAGAGCAUUCUCAAUCUCUCCAUUCCACAUCUCCCCACUCACAAUCUGCCCUACAAAUUCUAGCCAGUCUCACCUCCUUCUCAUCUCUGCUCCUCAGUUCAGUGGGGCUACUGGGCUCUGUUUCAGUUCUCCUUCCCGCUCCGUGGCCUGGAAAUGGCUUCAGACAGUGUAGAAAAUCAGAGGGCUCCUCUUAAUUAUUUCUCUUCUCUCAUGUUCACAGUCUAUGCUACCUGCUGUCCACUGUCUGAAAAUAGUUGUUCCUGCUGUUUGAAUUUCUAGCUUUUAUUACAAGAGGGAAAUUCUUGUUGCAGUUAAACCUUCAUGGGAAGAGGUAUAAGUCAAUAAUUUUAUCCUUCGUACUUCCCCAAGAAGGAUAAAAACUAUCUCCAAGGUCAAUUUAAAUGAUGUUAUGGUCAUGUUAAAGACACACACACACCAGAAACAACAAUAAUCCUUGUCUUUUAGAAAUUCUAUUAAAAUAUUCAUGGACUAAGUGAUAUAAUUUCUGAAAUUUGUUUCAGAAGUAUGAGUGAGGGUGAAAUUCCAUGAGAAUAGACACUGGUCAUGAAUUGGUAAUUAUUGAAAUUGGGUGAGGAAUACUACCUACUUUUUAUGUUUGAA